AACGAACGCUGGCGGCAUGCCUAAUACAUGCAAGUCGAACGAUAUCUUCGGAACUAUUCUCUCCCGGGUUCGGUACGCGACGGGUUAGUCACUCGUAUUCGACAUACCUUCUAGAGACGGAUGACAAUACCGGAUGAUAGCUAAUAUCCAAAGAUAUAUCGUCCAAGAAUGAGCCUGCGUAAGAUUAGCUAGUUGGUCAGGUAAAGGCCCACCUAGGCGACGAUCCUUAGCUGGUCUGAGAGGAUGAUCAGCCACACUGGGACUGUGACACGGCCCAGACUCCUACGGGAGGCAGCAGUAGGGAAUAUUGGACGACGGGGGAAACCCUGAUCCAGCAAGGCCGCGUGAGUGAUGAAGGCCUUAGGGUUGGAAAGCUCUUUUACCAGGGAUGACAAUGACAGUACCGUAAGAAUAAGAUCCGGCUAACUCCGUG
rnacentral:rRNA from 1 species